CCUUUGAAAUCCUGGACUAUCCCAUCCAAUCCUGGACAUAUGGUCACUCUGCUUAAGGGCUCCUCUGAGUAGUUAGGCCCUGUUGCAUCUUAUAGCUUGCAAUGGGAGUUAGGUGGGAAUUAUUUGCCUACCUGCUCAUUCUGGGAUGCUUCUACACAUGCAUCAAGUCUCUGUGUAAGUGACUAAAGAUCUUCUCAGAUGACAGUUUAGCUGAGAAGAGGACGUAUCUCCUAGGACCAUGCCUGGAUUCAAGCUCACUGAGCUGUUUAACCUGAAAUCCUUUGGGUUCACCUCCUCUUUAAAACUGACAAAGAACAGGCUGAAUUUAUGAGCCCACAAAGGCAAAGAACAGGAAGCAUCUUCUCCUGAAGCCAGAUGCAGUGGUGAACAUAUUGAAUAGCUGACUGAGUACUGAAUGAUAAUCAUACACAAAGAAGAUGAGCAAAGGAAACAAUAGAAGACAAAAUCACCUUCAUUUUCCAGGGAAAAAAGGGAAAAUAGAGAGGGUGAGAGAGGAUGAGUCUUGAGUUUGUUUCAUUUUUCAUUCUAACAAUUUCAACCACAAAGAAUGGUGGUAUAAAUGAUCGAACAACAGUUUGCUAAUGCAUUAUAGAUAGCCAUACACAAUAUGGCAGAGCUUUAUCCUACUUGUAUAUUUACCCACCAUGAAUACAAAAUAUACUAAGAGUGACAGGUAAUGUAGCCAAAGCUUCUACUCUCUGUAAGCAUCUGUGUACUAUGAAUUAUAAAUGAGAGCCUUGUAUCCAAAGGUAGAAAGUAAUGUAGAUAUUGCCAUAUGAGUAAAUGAAUAAAUGUGAAACAGAUGCUUCUUGCAUUCAGGGCAAACAGGUACUGCCAGGAAGCCACCA